rnacentral:misc_RNA from 1 species
UCCGGUUUGGCACCGGCAGUCUCCCAUGAGUCCCCGACAUAACUCGCUGGCAACAUGGGAUAGGGGUUGCGCUCGUUGCGCCACUUAACCCAACAUCUCACGACACGAGCUGACGACAGCCAUGCAGCACCUGUCUUGGGACUCCGAAGAGGGGCCGUGGUUUCUCACGGCUUUCCCCAAGAUGUCAAGCCCAGGUAAGGUUCUUCGCGUUGCGUCGAAUUAAACCACAUGCUCCACCGCUUGUGCGGGCCCCCGUCAAUUCCUUUGAGUUUCAGCCUUGCGGCCGUACUCCCCAGGCGGGGCACUUAAUGCGUUAGCUACGGCGCUGAAAGGGUCAAUUCUCCCAACACCUAGUCAUCAUCGUUUAAGGCGUGGACUAC